AGACCCGAAACCCGGUGAUCUAGCCAUGGGCAGGUUGAAGGUUGGGUAACACUAACUGGAGGACCGAACCGACUAAUGUUGAAAAAUUAGCGGAUGACCUGUGGCUGGGGGUGAAAGGCCAAUCAAACCGGGAGAUAGCUGGUUCUCCCCGAAAGCUAUUUAGGUAGCGCCUCGUGAAUUCAUCUCCGGGGGUAGAGCACUGUUUCGGCUAGGGGGCCAUCCCGGCUUACCAACCCGAUGCAAACUGCGAAUACCGGAGAAUGUUAUCACGGGAGACACACGGCGGGUGCUAACGUCCGUCGUGAAGAGGGAAACAACCCAGACCGCCAGCUAAGGUCCCAAAGUCAUGGUUAAGUGGGAAACGAUGUGGGAAGGCCCAGACAGCCAGGAUGUUGGCUUAGAAGCAGCCAUCAUUUAAAGAAAGCGUAAUAGCUCACUGGUCGAGUCGGCCUGCGCGGAAGAUGUAACGGGGCUAAACCAUGCACCGAAGCUGCGGCAGCGACACUCAGGUGUUGUUGGGUAGGGGAGCGUUCUGUAAGCCUGUGAAGGUGGCCUGUGAGGGUUGCUGGAGGUAUCAGAAGUGCGAAUGCUGACAUAAGUAACGAUAAAGCGGGUGAAAAGCCCGCUCGCCGGAAGACCAAGGGUUCCUGUCCAACGUUAAUCGGGGCAGGGUGAGUCGACCCCUAAGGCGAGGCCGAAAGGCGUAGUCGAUGGGAAACGGGUUAAUAUUCCCGUACUUGGUGUUACUGCGAAGGGGGGACGGAGAAGGCUAUGUUGGCCGGGCGACGGUUGUCCCGGUUUAAGCGUGUAGGUGUGUGUUCCA
rnacentral:rRNA from 1 species